rnacentral:rRNA from 1 species
CCUACGGGUGGCAGCAGUGGGGAAUAUUGCACAAUGGGCGCAAGCCUGAUGCAGCCAUGCCGCGUGUGUGAAGAAGGCUUUCGGGUUGUAAAGCACUUUCAGCGGGGAGGAAGGCGGUGAGGUUAAUAACCUCAUCGAUUGACGUUACCCGCAGAAGAAGCACCGGCUAACUCCGUGCCAGCAGCCGCGGUAAUACGGAGGGUGCAAGCGUUAAUCGGAAUUACUGGGCGUAAAGCGCACGCAGGCGGUCUGUCAAGUCGGAUGUGAAAUCCCCGGGCUCAACCUGGGAACUGCAUUCGAAACUGGCAGGCUAGAGUCUUGUAGAGGGGGGUAGAAUUCCAGGUGUAGCGGUGAAAUGCGUAGAGAUCUGGAGGAAUACCGGUGGCGAAGGCGGCCCCCUGGACAAAGACUGACGCUCAGGUGCGAAAGCGUGGGGAGCAAACAGGAUUAGAUACCCUUGUAGUC